rnacentral:rRNA from 1 species
UCCGUAGGUGUAACCUGCGGAGGGAUCAUUACACAACAAAAAUAUGAGGGUGUGGUUUGCUGGCAACAGCGUCCGCCCCAAGUAUUUUUCACCCAUGUCUUUUGCGCACUUUUUGUUUCCUGGGCGAGUUCGCUCGCCACCAGGACCCAACCAUAAACCUUUUUUUAUGCAGUUGCAAUCAGCGUCAGUAUAAUAAUUCAAUUUAUUAAAACUUUCAACAACGGAUCUCUUGGUUCUGGCAUCGAUGAAGAACGCAGCGAAAUGCGAUACGUAGUGUGAAUUGCAGAAUUCAGUGAAUCAUCGAAUCUUUGAACGCACAUUGCGCCCUUUGGUAUUCCAAAGGGCAUGCCUGUUCGAGCGUCAUUUGUACCCUCAAGCUUUGCUUGGUGUUGGGCGUCUUUUUGUCUCUCCCCUUGUUGGGGGAGACUCGCCUUAAAACGAUUGGCAGCCGACCUACUGGUUUUCGGAGCGCAGCACAAAUUUGCGCCUUCCAAUCCACGGGGCGGCAUCCAGCAAGCCUUUGUUUUCUAUAACAAAUCCACAUUUUGACCUCGGAUCAGGUAGGGAUACCCGCUGAACUUAAGCAUAUCAAUAA